UACAGAGGUCCCAAGCGUUUGUUCGGAUUCACUGGGCGUAAAGGGUGCGUAGGUGGUUAGGUAAGUCCGAUGUGAAAUCUCCAGGCUCAACCUGGAAAUGGCAUUGGAUACUAUCUAGCUUGAGGAGUGGAGGGGGGACUGGAAUUCUCGGUGUAGCAGUGAAAUGCGUAGAUAUCGAGAGGAACACCAGUGGCGAAGGCGAGUCCCUGGACACUUCCUGACACUGAGGCACGAAAGCUAGGGAGCAAACAGG
rnacentral:rRNA from 1 species